AGCCCUAAGAAAAUGAUAUAGGGUGAUACCUGCUCAAUGAAAUUAUUUAAAUAGCCGCGGUACCUUGACCGUGCUAAGGUAGCAUAAUCAGUUGACUUUUAAAUGAAGUCUGGAAUGAAGGGAAUCACGGGAUUAAGCUGUCUCUAUUUUUUUAUUAUGAAUUUACUAACUAGGUGAAAAGGCCUGGAAAAGAUAAAAGACGAGAAGACCCUUAGAGUUUUA
rnacentral:rRNA from 1 species